AGCUGUGGCUGGGCAUCGGAGGAUCUGGUGCUAAUCAUGCUGGAAACAAAGGAUGACUGGAGAACAAUACCACAAAACUUCUUUAUAACUGAUAGAGUGGAAAAGGAAUUUCCUGAAGUCAGUAUCUACAGUUAUGUUCAAAUCUAAUCUGUGGGCAAGGAGGAAGCAUGCUAUUCAUACAGCAAUGAUAUUCCUAAGCAUGUAUGAAGAACAUGUCCUUCAUCAGAAGGUAAUAAUCGAUAUCAGUAAAGGAACAAACAACCUAAGGUAUUUCUGUGGUCCAGAAUGUCUUUCCACUCUACCUCAGCACCCUACCUUGAACAUCUCUGCACAUCUGGGAAAUCUCAUACCCAUGUGAUAGCAGGGAAACAGAAAAGAAGCACUUACCAAAAGGCCUAAAUACUUCAGAGUCAACAGCAACUGUGGAGUUCUCUAUACAGCCUUUGCUUGAAAUACUUGAAACUAGAAAGGUAUGAGAAGAUAUUCCUGGAAAACACUGUAUUUUCUUUGUAGAACCCAUGGAAAGAACAUCAAGUGGAAAUCCAUGUGGAGAGAAUUACCUGCAUAUCUGUUCUAUUGAAAUGUUUCUAACAAAACCAAAAGGCUGCAGCCAAAUGCCUGCACCAAGUGUGGAUUCUGGUUUCCUAUAGUGCAUUUGCCACAUCUGAACUGUUUAUUUUGAACUGGGCAAUAAUUAGCUGACUAUAUCUGAAAGAUACAGAUUUUUAUAGUUCUAAGUGGUUACUGUUGUUUUCAAUGUUAAAGAAUGGCUAUUCUGCUGCUUCUUACUUUUCUAAGCUUAAAAUUCUUCUAGCUGUUUACCUUUCUUCUUGCUAAAUUAUAAAUAUGACAUGUUAUGUUACAGAGUACAGAUUUCAUCCUUUCUUUUCUGUGCACUUU
rnacentral:lncRNA from 7 species